rnacentral:lncRNA from 1 species
GCAAGGAGCUGAUAGACCUUUAUGGUUUGCAUCUAAACAAAGCCUUUCAUACUUGGAUGGCAGGUAAAUGUUAACAGAUGCAAUCAUACAUGUAAUUUAGGGCCAUCUCUAUGAGUGAUCUGAUUUUUCUGUUUAACAGCCUUCCAGGUGAUUAUGGAUUUGACCCCUUGGGACUCUCAGACCCUGAAGGUCCAGGAGGGUUCAUCGAGCCUAAAUGGCUAGCCUACGGUGAGAUCAUCAACGGGCGUUAUGCUAUGUUGGGUGCAGUAGGUGCGAUUGCCCCUGAAAUACUUGGGAAGGCCGGUCUUAUCCCAGCAGAAACAGCCCUCCCUUGGUUUAGAACCGGUGUGAUCCCACCAGCAGGAACAUACAGCUAUUGGGCAGACCCUUACACUUUGUUUGUGUUCGAGAUGGCACUCAUGGGAUUUGCAGAGCACAGAAGGUUCCAAGACUGGGCCAAACCAGGUUCGAUGGGGAAACAAUAUUUCUUGGGGUUCGAGAAGUACCUUGGAGGGUCUGGUGAGCCGGCAUACCCUGGAGGACCACUGUUUAACCCACUUGGUUUUGGGAAAGAUGAGAAGUCAUUGAAGGAUUUGAAGCUGAAAGAAGUGAAGAAUGGGAGAUUGGCAAUGUUGGCAAUCUUGGGUUACUUCAUACAAGGGCUCGUGACAGGUGUAGGACCAUACCAGAACCUGUUGGAUCACUUGGCUGACCCUUUCAACAACAAUGUCUUGACUAACCUCAAGUUCCAUUAGAUGAAAGUGCCUAUAUUUGUUCCAUGGAACUAUCCCCCCGG